GAUAGAAUGGCUGAAAAUAGGCAUUAGAUUGUAAAUCUAAUUAUGAAAAUUUCUUUUCUUCUAUCA
rnacentral:tRNA from 1 species